rnacentral:rRNA from 1 species
CAGAGGUGGCAAGCGUUGUUCGGAAUUACUGGGCGUAAAGGGCGCGUAGGCGGCCUUCUAAGUCAGACGUGAAAUCCCCCGGCUUAACCUGGGAACUGCGUCUGAUACUGGAGGGCUUGAGUAUGGGAGAGGGAUGUAGAAUUCCAGGUGUAGCGGUGAAAUGCGUAGAUAUCUGGAGGAAUACCGGUGGCGAAGGCGGCAUCCUGGACCAUUACUGGCGCUGAGGCGCGAAAGCUAGGGGAGCAAACGGGAUUAGAUACCUCGGUAGUCCUAGCCCUAAACGAUGAAUACUUGGUGUGGCGGGUAUCGAUCCCUGCCGUGCCGAAGCUAACGCAUUAAGUAUUCCGCCUGGGGAGUACGGUCGCAAGGCUG